GAGUUUGAUCCUGGCUCAGAACGAACGCUGGCGGCGUGGAUAAGACAUGCAAGUCGAACGAGACUUUCCGUUGUAGCAAUACGAUGGAAAGUUUAGUGGCGAACGGGUGCUUAACACGUGGGCAACCUGCCAUGAAGUGGGGGAUAGCUCGCCGAAAGGCGAAUUAAUACCGCAUGUGAUUAGAGAGGACAUCCUUUCGAAAUUAAAGUCGGGGCAACCUGACGCUUCUUGUGGGGCCCGCGGCCUAUCAGCUAGUUGGUGAGGUAACGGCUCACCAAGGCUUUGACGGGUAGCUGGUCUGAGAGGACGACCAGCCACACUGGGACUGAGACACGGCCCAGACACCUACGGGUGGCAGCAGUCGAGAAUUUUUGACAAUGGGGGAAACCCUGAUCGAGCGACGCCGCGUGGAGGAUGAAGGUCUUCGGAUUGUAAACUCCUGUCAUUUGGGAACAAGGUGCACACGUUAACUGCGUGUGUAUUGAUAGUACCAGAAGAGGAAGGGACGGCUAACUCUGUGCCAGCAGCCGCGGUAAUACAGAGGUCUCAAGCGUUGUUCGGAUUCAUUGGGCGUAAAGGGUGCGUAGGCGGCGCGGUAAGUCGGGUGUGAAAUCUCGGAGCUUAACUCCGAAACUGCAUUCGAUACUGCCGUGCUUGAGGACUGGAGAGGAGACUGGAAUUUACGGUGUAGCGGUGAAAUGCGUA
rnacentral:rRNA from 1 species